AAGUAAACAAAUAAACAAAUGUGGGGUUUAAAAAAAAAAAAGGAGUCCCCUAGGAAUGGCCGUCAGGGUGGCAGUAACAAAUCCCAAGGACAGGUAAAGGGUUGCGUAACUGGUUAGGGGCAGCAGCGUGACCACAUCAGUGACAGCCACAAAGCAGCAGAGCGGGGAUGGGGUUGGGCACGGGCACAGCGGCAGCAGCAUUCGGGAUGCUUCCAGAGGAUGCACGCCAUGCUGGAACCAGGUCAGAGCACAGGAGGUGGAGCAGGGCGCUGCAGGGUUGGGGUCCAGCGGGGACUGAUGGAGGCCGGCAACCACAGGACGUUCUUCUCCACGUGGUCUCGUUCCUGAUGCUGUGACCCGGGAAAUCAGAGUCACGAGCAUUGACAUCAAGGAAAUUGAAGUCAGUUACCCUGAGAAUCUCAUAUUAUUGUAGAAAAAUCUAAGCAUAGGGCUUUAUUAUUAAAAUCAAUCAAUUUUGGGACUUCCCUGGCAGUCCAGUGGUUAGGACUCUGCACUCCCACUGCAGGGGACGCGAGUUCAUCCCUGGUGGGGGAACUAAGAUCCCGCAUGUGGCCUGGGGCGGCCCAAACAAAACAAAACAGUCAAUUUUAGAAGCCAAAAUAUUUUCCCGCUUUUUUAUUUCAGGUAGAACGUUUGUCUGAAAACUAAGAUCUGCAGCCAUCUUGCUGGCAUUCAUACGUGAGAAAGGGUUUUUGCUGUCAGCUGAAACCCUCCGCAGCCCACCCACCACUAAUUCCUCUUCACUCUGGCACGCAGAGCUAAGUCUCCAGUGUGUGGCCCAGGAAUGCUUGACACCAUCUCAGAAUCCAAAGUGGACAUAUUUAUAGUGUGUCCCGACUUUGAAAGGAGUUAAGAGCAGAGAGCUGAAAAUAGUUGGUCUGGAUGGGAAAUGAAAAUCAAAUGUUCUCUUACUCUGAAGGGCGUGAUGAACGAAGAUUCAUAAUGUAAGACGCUAUGUAGCACUCUGAGAAAAGAUGAUGCCUACAUAUUUAGCUUAAUUUAAGGGAAGAUGGCCAUGAACCCAGCACUGGAGAUACAGCAGUGAACAAAACAGCAACCCUGGCCCCAGGAAUUUUACGUUCUCUGAGGGGAGACAGGAAAUAACAAAUAAGAUGUUGUCUUGCGCCCAGGGCAGCUGUGAGUAUGUGAAUGCCUCAUCAGUGACUGUGGACACCGCCCAAAUGGCAAUCAGCACAGAAACCUUAUAAAAUUACCAACAGAUUACUGCUUCUGUCUGCCAGCACUUUCAAUGCCAGCCAGCCUGGGGGCUUGUUUUGUUUUGGGUUUUUUUGGUUUUGUUUUUUUUUCUACUGGCAUACGUUGUGAUUUAGAGUGAGUCUUUGUGGACUGAAUGAAAAUAUAGGCUCACACCCAGUUAACAAGCUUUGACAAAUCAGAAGGCACAUACAUGGCAUAUGGGCAAGAAUGAAUAACAACCUAGAAAACUAGGGAUCUUCUUCUCCUUUCCCUUCCCUUCCCUUAGUAAUCCAGGACAAAUUUAAUAAAACUCUGUCUUACCCCUGUCAUACGCUCUAUGUUGUGAGGAAUACCACAGAAGUAAGUGACACUUCCUGUCCUUCAAGGGCAAAUAUAAGAAGGUUGAAUCACAAUGACUGUGGUUUGAAUCAUUUACCAGGAUAGAAAAAAAUUAAGCUGAAAGUGUCUAUUCACAUGUGCUUCUAUCUCUUUUGAUAUCCAGAGGAUGUGAGUGACAUAACAUCUGAGUUAGAUACAUUUCCCCCAAUGCAAAAGUGAUCGCCUUAUCUUAUUCUUGCUUGGGCUACACACUCUCCCAAUUCCCCCCAAUUCCUGCAGCUCUCCCUGAGUGACUUCUCUUUUCUAUAUUUUAUAGGAUCUCCGAAGAAUCCCUGCUUCUGUGAGACCACCUGAACCAUGACCCCAUAAAAUUAAAAUGGUGAGAUGGAAAACCAUGUAGAGCAUCACGAUACACCACGGCACCUGGCGGUUGAUUGGAGCUUUGUGCUGCCAAAGGGGUCCAGGCCUGGGCUUCUGCCAUGUGAUUCCCUGCCCACCUUCUACCCAGAGGGGACUGCUAAUUUUUUUAAAUAGGUUUGACACUGCUGCUAUCCAAACAGUUAUACACUAUUUUCUCUACUCUGUUCAAUCUUCUUCUUGUGGGUACAUUUUUCAAUUGUUUCCAAAAAAUUCAGUCCCCUGUGAAGCAUGAGUUUGUAAAGAUUUUGAUCAGGUUUGUUAUCUCUACUGAUUUUAACUGAACAAUGUGUCCUGAUAUAUUAUGUGAAUUAGCAGGUCAAAUUUUAUUUCAAUACUAUAGAGUUUGGAAAGAGCCCUAGAAGCCAAUAAGAAACCAAGCUUCUCAAGAACCUGGGCAGGUACUUUCACUUCUAUUUUCUUAUCUGUUACCAGGGUACCACUCUGGCCAUACAGGUCUGCAUCAUACAAUUCAAGGAGACCAUUCACAUCAUGACUGAGCAGCAAGACAGUCUGUCUAUAACAGGAGGAGGGGUGAGCAAAUAAACUGGUCUUUAAAAUCACUUUGAGCUAAAACUUAAUCAUUAUGACAAUGUGGUAUUCCAGCUUUUCUCUAGAUUUUCUUCAUGUUUGCUUUCUUUUUUCGGUACGCGGGCCUCUCACUGUUGUGGCCUCUCCUGUUGCGGAGCACAGGCUCCGG